AAAAGGAAUAGCGCCAGCUCUGUAAAAACAGAGGACGAGGAAGAAGCUUAUCGAAAUAUUCGGCGGGUGGCUUCAGGGACUGCACUCUAUAGAUAAAAGACAAAGCCCCCUUGCAAAAGGGACACAAAGCUUU
rnacentral:ncRNA from 1 species